rnacentral:misc_RNA from 1 species
UUUUUUUACUGUCUAAGAAAUGUGACAUCCACUUAUUGGUUGACCCAGCAUUAUUCUUCCUCCCUUUAGGGAAAAAAAAACUUGACUAUUAUUCUCCUUGAGAACUAUGGGAAAUAUAUGUUUUGUUAGAUUGGUAAUGUUGCUUAAAUCACAUUAUAGAUUUAGAUAUCUCAUAGCUGUUAUGAAGUGGAUUUUGUAUAU